AGAGGGAAGGGACGGGUAGAAAGGAGAGGAGGAGGAGUGAAAAAAAGACAAGGCCACCAGACAGCUAGGUAUUAUAUAAACACUAAAACACACAGGCCACCACAGACAGCUAGGUAUUAUAUAAACACUAAAACACACAGGCCAUCACAGACAGCUAGGUAUUAUAUAAACACUAAAACACACAGGCCACCACAGACAGCUAGGUAUUAUAUAAACACUAAAACACAGGCCACCACAGACAGCUAGGUAUUAUAUAAACACUAAAACACAGGCCACCACAGGCAGCUAGGUAUUAUAUAAACACUAAAACACAGGCCACCACAGACAGCUAGGUAUUAUAUAAACACUAAAACACAGGCCACCACAGACAGCUAGGUAUUAUAUAAACACUAAAACACACAGGCCACCACAGACAGCUAGGUAUUAUAUAAACACUAAAACACACAGGCCACCACAGACAGCUAGGUAUUAUAUAAACACUAAAACACAGGCCACCACAGACAGCUAGGUAUUAUAUAAACACUAAAACACAGGCCACCACAGACAGCUAGGUAUUAUAUAAACACUAAAACACACAGGCCACCACAGACAGCUAGGUAUCAUAUAAACACUAAAACACAGGCCACCACAGACAGCUUGGUAUUAUAUAAACACUAAAACACAGGCCACCACAGACAGCUAGGUAUUAUAUAAACACUAAAACACACAGGCCACCACAGACAGCUAGGUAUUAUAUAAACACUAAAACACACAGGCCACCACAGACAGCUAGGUAUUAUAUAAACACUAAAACACACAGGCCACCACAGACAGCUUGGUAUUAUAUAAA